ensembl:lncRNA
AAGAGAGAGUGGGGGAGGGGGUGGAGAGAGAGAGGAAAGAGACAAGCGAGAAGGAAGUAGAGAUUGGGAGAUGGGUGGAGGGAAGGAGAGAAAAAAUGGAAUAGAGAGAGAGAGAGAGAGAGAGAGAGAGAGAGAGAGAGAGAGAGAGAGAAAGGGGGUGAGUGGAGGGAGAGAGAGAGAGCGUGGGACGUAGAGAAACAUCAGAUCAAAGUGUCUGGCUGAAGAGAGGGUGUUUGAUAUAUUGCGUCAUCCCAACACACGUUCAGAAAAUCAUUAGUUGUUCCUGUUUUGUGUGUCAUUCACAAAACUAACAAGACAUGCAGAUGUAUCUAAAAGCAAUAGUCCUAAUACAUACACGUGUAAUACUUUGCCCAUCAUUACGCCAAUCCAUUCUGUCAGAGCUUGAUACAGGCUGUGGAGCAGAUGAACACUCCCAUCUAGCGGCCUGAGUGUGCAACUACACGCUUAAAGCCCCAUUCCGCUUCUACUAAUUAACAUCUUAAUCAGAGGGUAUAUCUCAAAGCAGCUGUUGACUUUGUGUAUCGGUUUUCCAUGUUGCUGCAUGAAGAUUCUCUGAAUCGCCGAUUUAGUGUCACGGCAGGACACGAACUACUGAACUUUCAGAUGCAUGAGUUGUUUCUUCGCUCAUCGACGUCGUAACGUUAAACCGUGUUCACUCACACGCUGCCGAUACAGUCGUCCGAUCGAUAAUCUAUACCAGGUAGCUUUAUAUUGUAGGCUACUAUACUAUCUUGUUGGGUAUAUCUGUGAUCCGCCACCAUUCUGCUGGAUGACGAGGGUAUAGAUAUCGGGGCAGGAUGCGACUGGACGUUUCUCGACUCUUUACUGUUCCAAACAUCAUCUCCAUGAUUAUGAUCCAUCCUUGCAAUGAUCAAUAUUUGAUGAAUUCGAUAUUCAUUCGUUUUUCUGCACAUAAUCCAUAAAGUGGAACGGUUUUUAUUGACUCUAUUUGUGAUUCACCCCAAAAAGGACCUGUUGUAAUACUACUUGAUCGUGUUUCUGCUGUUCAAUAUUCCCGUCCUGUUUACUGCACUAAGAGAACAAUGUCGUGUUCUGCAUGUCUGAGAACUAUACGAAGUGUUGUGUUUUUACUAAGCGUGAUGUUGACUGUCCAAAAAUAAUAGAGAGAUUGAGGUUAUAUCUCAUCAUAUAUGCACUCCACUCAACGCUGUACAUUUGGAAGCUGUUUAAAGGUGCUGUUCGUAAGAUUUAGGAGCUGUUUUUUUUUAUUAUUAUUGGAAUGGCAUCGACAGCCCGUCAGCUAUUAGUCAGUAGUAGCCUACAAUUAUCUGUUAGAAUAUUGGUUUCAAAACACCUGAAUCUGUAUGAGCCGAUUUACAUUUAAUGAUCGCUCCCUGGCUUAUUUCUUACCAUUCGGGCAUCUCUUCCCUGAUUGAGGACCAAUCUUACCUUUUGAUCCCAGAUGUGUGUUUUCCUCACUUCUCAAAGGUGGAAUGGAGGUAGGGAAGGAGCACAGAAGGGAGGGGAGGUUUUUGAGUGAUUUAGUUUCAGCGCCAUGCCGUCUUGUGUUUACAGCUCUCCAAUCUUACUCACAGCAGCUUUAUCGCGGGACAUGGCGAUGUUUUGUGUUUCCAGGUUUUUCUAAUCAAACAAGAUGGUGUUUUACUUCUUGUGGUGCGGCGUGUACCCGAGAUAUGUGCGGAGAAGCUAGGACACAACAUGGAGGGGAUGUCUCUCAUGCUGUGUCCUUCCUUGUUUUAGUCUGCACGUAAUCUAUAGGUUCACACUUUGCAUACGUCGGACAACCACAGACCAAUAGGAAAACAGGUACCAUCACUGAUGAAGGUGUUGUUUGAUGAUGUCUUUGUACUGAGUCUUGUGUCUUAUAAAAAAUAUAUACAUACCACUCGGUAUAUACUAUACACUAGUCAAGUCAACAUACCAAAAACAUGAUGGUCAAGUGUUUCUUAGUCAGUACUGCAGAAUGUUAGGGUGAAGGUCGGAGGUCAUGACCUCAGGACACGUAUAUACUGGGUCUGUUUCUACAUUCAUGUAUCCAGUAGGAAUGUAGUGUUGUUGAAACUUAGACUGGAGGGAUAGUAUUCUGUGUUUAUGCAGGAGGUAAUCUCGUGGCUGUCACUUUCCAUUAUUUUCACAGUGGUUUAGAAUAGGCCUCAUUUUGUUACCGCAGUUACCACAUUAAGUAUUAAAAGUAUUUUAAUUAUCACACGCUGUCGGUCUGAAGCUUCCAGGAUUUCACAGCCCAUCUGCAGAACACACACACAACCCACAACGAGCUACGAUUCAGUCCAUGAGAAGGAUUAAGAUCCACGGUACAGCGGAGGAGGGAGAGACAGGAGGAAAGGAGAGAGGAGGAGAGAAGAGGAGACAGGAGCAGAGUGAGGUGAAGAGGAAGAGGAGAGAUGAGGUGAGGAGAGGAGAGGAAGGACGAGGAGAGGAGGGACAAGGUGAGACGAGCUAAGGAGAGAUGAGGGGAGGAGAGGAGAAGACAUGGAGAGGGGAGAAGAAAGGAG